AUUUUUAUGUUUCUACCUGAAUGUCUUCAUUCCAAAUAUGUUUGUAAACUCUGAUGCUUCAACACCAUAACAUUUUAACACAUUAAAAAGUCAUUGAAAAUAUUGUAUUCACAUUUAAACCAUGCCUAAAUAUUCAAUUUAAGUCCAAAAUAUUUAGGUAGUUUGCAGAAAUACGAAAUGAUGAGGCAAAAAACUCACAAGAAUAUUCUAUUCAAGAGGUCAGUGCAAUCUUUGUUAAAAUAAAGUGCUCCUUUAAAAAGAAGCAUGACUGCUCAGUCCUGAAUAUGCCUUCAAAUAGUCGCAUCUGUAUUUCACCUUCUGAGAUGUCUUAAUUCUGAAUUUUUCUUUAUUUCUCUUUAAAAUUUUACCAGAACUUUAAUUUCCAUUUGACUCUCUGCUCAAUAACUCCUUAAGUUUACUACUUCUGCCAGAUUACAAAGGUAUCAUUAAGUAAUGCAAGUUCAUGUCUUAUUAGUAGACUAUACUGUUGACCUUCAUUUCCUCAUGUCCCAUCUUGCUUUGAAUUUUAAUGUUCCCAGUCCCAUUUUAUUUACCUAGCCUUUUAGAUUUUCACUUGUGAAAACAAGGCCAGAAAAAUAGAAGAACCUUGAUCUCACCUUGGACUUCUGGCUUUCCGAGGCAAACUAAAGGUUAUCUGGAAACAAACACAGAGCUGCUAUCUGAGUACGGGCUUUUACAGGCUGUAAAUAUCAUCCCUCGGGUUGCUGACAACAAUUUGAGGACAGAGGCCCAAAUACACAGCAACAGCCUUCUCCCACCAGAUGUGCAUUGUUUUCUGUGCAGCAGAACAGAAACUCUCAUUUUGCUUUCUUGUGGUAUGUAUUUUAAUAGUCUCAUCUGUAUGGCACUGAAUCAGGUUUUUCUCACAAUAUUUGAACAUGUUAACUGUGUAACAAAAAUGCCGUGUUGAAAAUUGCAUUGUAACUUGGACAGAACUUUCAAGUGAAAAGGAAAGUUUUACAGUGAGGAGUGGUUUGAGGUGGUUUUAAUACAUUCAGCCUCUUUCAGAGAGGAGCUUUCUUCUGUUACGUUAAUUUUUUUCUUAACUAAUGACUUCUGUCAUGAGGCAGACAAAUUCAUUGUAAGUAUAUUUCUCUGAGGUCUGACCUUUUUGCAAAAAGUAGAUGUUGAUAGUAGUAGGACACUGAUGUGACAGAAUGGGCUAUGAAUGAUGUGACAUAGGCUUGGAUCACCUUGUUUGCUACAGAUAACAAUAAGAAAUAUCACGUUUUUGUUCCGUUUCUAGAUAUAUCUUUCCUUAAGGAAAAAAAGUAAAUAAAGUAAUCCAGGUUAUAUGAAGUCA
rnacentral:lncRNA from 1 species